GGCAGGCUGACCACCUGUUACGCAAGUGCAGCAAGGAGCCAAGAGUGAGAGAGUACAUCACAUUCCAGGAAAUCUCCUUGCUGAGGGUGGCGUUGAUCAUGAACUGCUUCUCAUGGGGCUUGAUUUGCAGUAGUCUCCACAACCGGAACACACUGGCACAGGGUGUCCAUGCAUCAGAUGGACUGGAAAACAAAGAGACAUUUCAAAUAACAUUUUAUUAGUCACAUGCGCCUUACAGUGAAAUGGUUACUUACGAGCCCCUAACCAACAGUGCUGUUUCAAAAAAUAUGGAUAAGACAUCUGGUGUCUGGAUAUUCCUCUUCUGCCAUGAUGGAUGAGCUACCUUUUCUGGUAAAUACAGGGCUAUUUAUCUUUCCCACCGGAAAAUGGCAGCUGCAGACCCGAGUGUUGUCACUGGGUUUCCGGUCCGCCCAUCUGAAAGACAGCUAGUAAAAGUAACGUAUCUGUGUAACUAAGUUGAUUACUAAAAUGGUAACAUCUAUAUUAAAAUACAAUAACCCACAGACUUGACUAUAGUAACGGUAAAAUAGACUGUCUUUGGUCUAUCUCUACAUCUAAAAUCCUACUAUGUAGAUGGGCCAUUUCUGCUGGGAUGGAGGAAAUAUCUGGAAUGCUCAACUAGGUGAUCGGGACAGUCAAGAGUACCAUUUGCCCGAAGAGGUAUAAUAUUGCGAUGAGCUAUAUGGCUGUUCUUCAGAUUCUAAUUCUCAAGAGGAAAGUUAAAACACUUAGCCGUAAGGUCACUGAGGAGGACCAACAGUGGUAGGUGGAUUAUCUGAAAGGGACUGACAUGCAGGGAUGUAACAUAAGGAUUUUGGGCACUGGUCAGCAGACACAAUUUCUACAUUCAGGUCCUAAAUAUGUGGCAUGCAAUGUUUGUAAAGUCAACAUUUUCACUGCUGUGUCAGGCUAGUUUGGCCCGUUGUCUAUUAGCCCAGUCUGAAAAGUACUAGCCUCGGUCUAGCUUAAUUUCCAUCCCUGCUGAUUUCUGGUCAUAUUUUGGUCAUAAAUAAAGACGUCUCAAAAAAGACGUCUAAAACUGUCAUGACGUCGUGACCAGAAUAUGACAAUUGUCAGACGUCAUAAUGACGUUAUGUGCCUAUUGGGCAGUUUGUAACAGUGUGUCGCUGGCAACGACGAGGUUGUGUGUUCAAUUCCCGCAGGGAUCAUACACACCCAAAACAUGUUUUACCACUCACUGUUUUAAGUUGCUUUGGAUAAAAAUGGCUGCUAUAUUGUCAUGACUGUUAAAAGGGCAAUUUGUGGAGUUGAAAUGGCAUGGACUGCAAUCCUGAUAUAAAUGUACUGUCAUGUGUAUUGCAUUUAAAAAAAAACAAGAACUUCAGUUAAUAUUACCGGAGUCAUCACCCGCCUAUGUGAGCUGAAUCUCUGAGACCUCAGGGGGAGCUGAAGAAAAGUAAGGGAGGACAGGACAAGUAAUUUGAAUACAAUUAUUACAAAUACACUGAGUCAAAAGGAAGAGGAAAAGCACAAAGAAUGAGAGGGUUUCUGUAAGAAAGACAUGGUUGUGUUCAAUUCUAUUUAAAUUAAAUUAAAUUGAAAUUGACCCCAAACCAGGUGCGAGAGCUGUCCCUUACCUAAUAUAGUGAACUUGUCCGACAUCCUCUCCACCACCACAUCUUUCCCCAUAUAGGAAACCUGGCACAUGAACACCGCCCCCUUGUGGAUGGAGAUCUGGGAGAUGGAGUGCGAGGACAGCAGUCUGCUUGCUGCCGUCCCCUGUCGAGUACAGUCGUGGCCAAAAGUUUUGAGAAUGACACAAAGAUGAGUUUUCCCAAAGUCUGCCGCCUCAGUUUGUAUGAUGGCAAUUUGCAUAUACUCCAGAAUGUUAUGAAGAGUGAUCAGAUGAAUUGCAAUUAAUUGCAAAGUCCCUCUUUGCCAUGCAAAUGAGCUGAUUCCCCAA